CAGUCAACGACCUUCCAUACUUCACCGUCACAUGCCGCCUCUUUCACAUUUUUAAAUAUAGCUCUCGUAUGAUAUUUAUGUUUGAAGAUUUUUUGUGUUGUUGUAUUUCAUAGGUGUCGACAACAUCCGUUGAAAGAGCCUUUUCAACAAUGACGAUUAUCAAGUCUAAAUUACGCAUUAAGAUCAACGAUGUGUGGUUCAAUGACUUGAUGGUAGAGGGAGAUAUUCAAGUCACUUAUGAUAUUGAUAUUAUUCAAACAUUCACGGCAAAGAAGUCUCGGAAAGAACAUUUGCCUCGUUGUAAGUGCUGGAAUCGGUGUUUUAAAUGUAGCAAGAAAAACAAUGGCAAGAAUGCUGGGUAAUAACAAAGUCGCUAUUUAGAGUGCAAAGAGUCAAUUUUGGGUUGUUGUUGCAAAGUGAAUACUUUGUCCUAGUAAUAUUUGAUGCUGGGGGAAUCGAUGCACCAAUUCUACAAGAAUUACUGGAUUUUAUUGAUAUUUUUAGUCCUAAUGAAAGUGAACUUGGUCGGGUCGCCUUACAGGAAUGCCAACCGAAAGUUUUGAAGACAUUACGCAGGCUGCUCUGAAAUGCCAUAAAUUGUAAGUUCAAGUAGUACCGUAGGGAUAGAGCAGUGGAACAAAGACAAUGUGUGGAAUUGGUGGAGUUGUCAUUGGAACACAACAAGCUUGUUCGGCCUCUUCUUGACUUCAGGAUUUUGAGUUAAAUGGUUUUUGUGAAUUUGUUUGGACUUCAUGUAAAGUAUAUGAUUUUGUUAAUUGUUCUUUGCUUCAAAUAUCUAAUCAGUUUUGUUAGUUGUUGUCAACUAGUGAAUACA